rnacentral:misc_RNA from 1 species
AACUUUCGGCAAUGGAUCUCUUGGUUCUGGCAUCGAGGAAGAACGCAGCGAAAUGCGAUAAGUAAUGUGAAUUGCAGAAUUUAGUGAAUCAUCGAAUCUUUGAACGCACAUUGCGCCCCUUGGUAUUCCGAGGGGCAUGCCUGUUCGAGCGUCAUUACAACCCUCAAGCAUUGCUUGGUAUUGGGCCCCGCUGCUCACUCAGCGGGCCGUAAAAUCAGGGGCGGUGCCAUCGGGCCCUGAGCGUUGUCAAUAUCCUCUCUAUAGGGACCCGGUGGACGCUAGCCAUCAACCCUCAACUUUCUAAGUUUGACCUCGGAUCAGGUAGGGAUACCCGCUGAACUUAAGCAUAUCAAUAAGCGGAGGCU